AAAAAAGAAAGAAAGAAAGAAAGAAAAAAAGAAAAUCUGGAAAAUGUAGAAAGCUAUAAAGAAAAUAUAAAGAAAAAAUAGAAGUGAGCCCUGGGCCCCUCUCUCCACGGGCCCUUCCUUCUGGCUUCAAGUGCUCUUGCCCAGCCUGCUGCCACACCCGUGGACGACGGCCCGGCCGGGGGGUGCACACGUGUGCCACCUUCUUCCUGGCCCUGAAUUGUGUGUGAUGGGCUUCUUUGCGUGUCUCUGGGUCUGGUCACCCUUUGGGCUGGCUUCGGUGACCAUUCCCAAGGGCGGGGACCCACGGCCAGCCCCCAGCAGUGAGGGGCAUCCGGGUGGUCUCUGAGUCGCCGAAGGUCCCCAGGGGAGCAGAGAUGACCUCCCCUUGCGGCCCCCUUUUCCCCAGCAACUACUCUGCUGGGAGGGCUCCUGCCUGAGAGGGGCUACCACUGGGUUCCAGGCAGGGGCAGGAUGGGGGCCUGGAUCCGGGGCCCCUGAGAGCCCUGAGUUCCCACAAUCACCCCAGGCCCCUCCCCACCUCAGGCAGCCUCAGCCUGUCAUAGGAGGGGCCCCUUGCCCAGGCCCUGGCAGUGCUGGUUUUAGGGGGUCUGUGUCUUAGUGCCUUGGGGCUGCUAAAAUGAAAUAUAUAGACCAGGGGGCUUGGAAACAACAGAAAUGUAUUUCUUAUGGUUCUGGAGGCUCAAAGUCCAAGGUCAAAGUCUGUGAUCAUGAGAGCAGACUCCGUGUCUGGUAAGGGCCCUGUUUCUGGCUCAUGGAUGGCGGCCUCUGGCUGUGUCACACACGGCGGGAGGGAGGUCUCUCCUGGGUCUCCUGUAUGGGACACUAUCCCAUUCAUGAGGGCUCCACCCUCCCAGGAGGCCCCACCUCCUGACCUUAUCACCUUGGGGUUAAUAUUUCAACAUGGGAAUCUAGGGCGCACGUGUAGAUCACGUGUUGGGUGCAUCCUGUUAUGCAUGUGUCCUGGCUUGUGGCGUGUGUGUAGGUGGUGUGGCUGGGUGCAUCCUGUCAUGCGUGUGUCCUGGCUUGUGGCGUGUGUGUAGGUCGUGUGCUGGGUGCAUUCUGUCAUGUGUGUGUCCUGGCUCGUGGUGCACAUGUAGAUCACGUGCUGCGUGCAUUGUGUCACAUGUGUCCUGGCUUGUGGCACGUGUGUAGGUCAUGUACGGGGUGCAUUGUGUCAUGCAUGUAUGUGUACUGGCUUGUGACGUGUGUGUAGGUCACAUGCUGGGUGCAUCCUCUCAUGCGUGUGUCCUGGCUAGUGGCCCAUGUAGAUCACGUGCUGGGUGCAUCGUGUCACGUGUGUGCCCUGGCUUGUGGCCCGUGUAGAUCACGUGCUGGGUGCAUCGUGUCACGCGUGUGCCCCGGCUUGUGGCUAGUAGGGUCAUCACAGUCCACUCUUCUGCCUUCAGAUCUGAACCAAAGGAGCCACAGGCCUCUGGUUCUGGAAGCUGUGGAGCCCAGUGGGGCUCUGCACGGCCCAUUCUUCUUCAUUUGCUUCUAUGCUGGGGUGAGCGGCGUCCCCAAAUUCGUGUCCCUCUGGAAGCUCAGCCUGCUGCCUUAUUGGAAGGAGGGCCUUUGCAGACAUGAUGGAGUAAGAGGAGGUCAUACUGGAUUGCAGUGGGUUUAGCCCAGUGAUGACUGUCCUUGUGAACCAUAGACGCAGGGAGAAGCCGUGUGAAGGUGGAGGCAGAGGCUGCAGUGACGCCACCACCAACCACAGGGGCUGCUCAGAGCUGGAAGAGGCUGAAGGACCCUGCGCUGGAGGCUUCAGAGAGGGUGCGGGCCUGUCACCCUUGGCUUCAGACUCGGCCUCCAGAGCCGCGAGAGGACACAUUUCCAUCGCUUCAGCCGUCGGAUUGUGGGUUUCCUGGGGCCUCCCCGGAAGCCAAGCAGAUGCCAGCACCACACUUCCUGUAGAGUCUGCAGAACCGGGAGCCGAUUAAACUUCUUUUCUUUAAGAAUC